UUGACGAGAAAAACUGUGGAAUGCAUUUUGAAAUUUAAAAAAGGUGCAUAACAAUGGGAAAGUCUCUAUUCACAAGAUCACACUGAUGCAAAGGAGUUUCAUUCUUCAAGGCAGGUUAGUUCAUUCUGAAAUUUCACUUUGAUAACAUCCCUCAAGGACUUCAAGUCCACUCCACAUAGAUUUUUUUGUUCAACACUACAGACCCUACUUCUACAAUUCAAUACCUAGACUCCCUGUGAAUCUUUUUUUUUAUCUUAUGAAUCAAUUCAAAUGCAAAUUAUUUAUAUAAAAACAAUUCAGAGCCAAAAUGGUUCUCCUUGCAUUGUUAUCAGGUCAGGAUUUACAGCUUCUUAAUUUUGAUGCAAAGUAAAUUCAAUUCAUAUCAUGUUUUAUUAUAUGCACCCCUAAUUCAGUCUCAAGUAUAUUCUCAGUAGAAUCCACAGCAAUACACUAUUCUGACUAGGGUACAGUAUAGAGAGGUACAAAAUGUUUUACAACACUUGCAAAACAGAGUUCUGGACCAUGACCUUCAAUAACAUGUGAUAUCACUCCUGCCUCUGAAUCAGAAGGUUACCGGUUUAUUCAGCCUCUGAAAGUUGAAUCAUUAAACAAGGGAUAAGGUACACUGCUGGAGCAUACUGAAAAGAAAGUGGCCAAUGUUAUGUUUGGGAUAUCACUGUAAAGAUUUGAUCAGCAAAACCAGAGAUGAUUAUCAUAUACAUGAGGAAUAAACCGGAGUUCCAUAAGCCAGUCCUCAUUAGGUGAAUGGAAGUGGAGAAGGGUUCUUUUGAAGACCCUGAGCUGGAGUUACACGCUGACUUCAGUUCUUUGUGGGAAUGGAACACGCUCUCAGGGUUUCAAGACUGGCCAUUAUUUGAUAUGCCAAGGAUGCGGCCUAAGAAAUUAGCUCGCCUUCAGAGUCCUGGGAUCUCAUGGCUCUGGAGACGGACGGACGUGUCCCAGCAGGAAAUCGGAGUGUCGUGAGAGACGGAAGAUCUCUGGCUGUGUGCUCAGUGACCCGAGAUCUUUGGGCACAG